rnacentral:rRNA from 1 species
CAAGACCUUGCGCUCCUGGAGCGGCCGAUGUCUGAUUAGCUAGUUGGUGAGGUAAAGGCUUACCAAGGCGACGAUCAGUAGCUGGUCUGAGAGGACGACCAGCCACACUGGGACUGAGACACGGCCCAGACUCCUACGGGGGGCCGCAGUGGGGAAUUUUGGACAAUGGGGGAAACCCUGAUCCAGCCAUGCCGCGCGAGUGAAGAAGGCCUUCGGGUUGUAAAGCACUUUCAGCCGGAACGAAAAGGUCACGUCUAAUACCUGUGAUCACUGACGGUACCGGAAGAAGAAGCAGCGGCUAACUACGGGCCAGCAGCCGCGGUAAUACGUAGGGUGCAAGCGUUAAUCGGAAUUACUAGGCGUAAAGCGUG